rnacentral:misc_RNA from 1 species
AUCCAAAACUGUACUUCGCGUAAAAAUGAAACUAAAACCAAGUUGGUUUUUUUCUAUCACCUUUGACCUUGACAAGACAGUUGUGUGAUGUGAACUAUUACAAGUAAUAAAAGUAACAUUGAAAUCAUUGAAAAGAAACAAUAAAGAUUCUUGGUACCUUCCAAUACUUUUCAACAAUCUAACAUAAGAUGUUAUCUAGAGCCAUACGGAGGCAACUUGCGUUUUCUGACCAUUUCCUGUCGCACUGUUAUUACAGACAAUCUCGGAAAAUUUCAGGCAACAAGCUUAAGAAUUUUAGGGUGACGGGUUGUGUUGCUGCCCCGUUUACUCCCUUUCGUGAGAAUGGAGAUAUCAAUUUUGACAAAUUCGGAGAAAGCGCCGAUUACUUCAAUAAUAACCAUAUUCCGUACGCGUUCGUAAAUGGGACCGUAGGAGAGGGAAUGUCAAUGACAGUGGACGAGAGGAAAGAGUCGGCAGAGGCAUGGGUAAAGGCAGGAAAAGGAAAAGUGAAGAUUAUUCUCCAUGUUGGAGCAAAUAAUAUUCGAGAUUCACAAGAAUUAGCUAGACAUGGCAGUUCCAUUGGUGUAGACGCUAUAGCAUCUCUCUGUCCCUCUUUCUUCAAGCCUGCCAACGAGGGUCUGUAGUUAUAUAUUGACAUUUCUGAAAGUUAUGAAAUUCUGGGCCUAUAAACCUUUUUGACUUUGUAUAAUUUUAUUUUUUAAAAAAGCAUCUUUUUUAUUUUUUUCUCUCUUUUUUUCUAAUGUUGAUGUUAAUGACGUAGCCUCACUGCUCUUUUUGAUAAUAGAAAUAGUGACUGAAUGUAUAUCGGAGAUCGCCGGUGCAGCUCCAGAUUUACCCUUCUUCUAUUAUUCCAUUGAUUUUCUGACCGGAAUUAAUGUGGAUCCGUCUAAAAUUCUAAAAAGAGCGAAAGACAGGAUUCCGAACUUAGUUGGAGUUAAGCAUACUUCAAAGGAAGUGAGGAAAGUUUACAACAGUUCUUUGGUAGAUUCAAGUCGUUUCCAAGUUUUAAUGGGAACAGAGUCGGAAUUCUUACCCUAUUUUUCUCUCGGCAUUGAAUUUCCGGUGACUCUUCCAUACAUGGGUACAUUAUUCUACAAAUUGAAGACGGCUUAUGAUUCUGGGGACAAAAGCACAGCAAUGAAUAUUCAAGCUCGGAUGUUUGAACUUGAUGCAAUACGUGGAAAAUAUGGAGCUGGGAUAGAAGUAGCAAAGGCUAUGUUUGGUAUCAUCAGUGGGAUUGAUGUUGGACCAGUGAGAUUGCCAAUCCAAAAACUAUCAAAGGAUCAAUACACUGCAUUGAACAAGGAUUUGAUGUGGUUUGGGUCCGUGAAUUGAUUGUAAAUGCAUGGAUAUAGACAGAUAGAUGUGAAGAUUUCAUGUUAACGUGUACACUGACAUGUGAUAGGAUAUCUAAUAAAAUGAUAUGACCUUUGAAAUUGUAGUUGGAAUGUAUGCAAUAUGAUUUUUUAAUUCAAUAGUUGUAAAAAAAUGUUAACAUUAAUGAUGAGAAGAAGUGACUACCAUUGAAACUGAAUAUUUGAAAUAAUCAUGCAUAAAUCAUGAUGAAAUU